rnacentral:lncRNA from 1 species
CAGUGGUAUUCAAAUCUGGCCCGCAAAACCAGUUCCACUCCAUUUGUCCAUUGCAACCCCUUUAUCAGGGACCUCUGUUCUACCUCAACAUUGCAUCCACCUGGUGUCCCAGGUCUUAAAUAAGUCUCUGAUUAGGGGGUUGCAAUGAAAACAGGGAGUGGAAUUGUCUUCGAGGGCCAGAUUUGAGUACCACUGGCCUGUAUUGUGUGAUUAUAGGUUGACAUUUUUAGUGCCCCUAUUUGGGUAUAACCCUUUAGUAAAUUUCUAUUUUCCACAGGAAUUGUGAACAUCCUUUAUCCAAAGGACAUGGUAGAUUACAACUCAACUCAAAUGUUGAACUGCACAAUUAACAAUGAAAAUUACGGCUCCUGGAAUUGGGACUUUAUUGCAGGAAAUAAUACCUACGUUCUGAAUAAUGGAACCAGCAUUACCAUCACAUCCACGGCAGCUUGUACCACAGUCCAAAUUAACAGUUUGUCAGGAAUGUGGGCAGGUACGUCUGAGAAGACCCGUCAUUCUUGCCAAUCUGAGAGUUUAAAAAGUGCACCUGUGUUGUUCAUUAUUGAAAUAGGACUGUUGAUUUGAUGUUGUUUUUAGGGUGAGCUUUCAUGUCAUCUCUAAAAUAUAAUUACCUAUUUUAUUCCUCUCUAAAUUUUCAGAAGGGAUUUAUAAGUGUGGAUUUUCCAGUGGGUCCAUUGUGCAUGCAGCCACUGCAGAGCUGAAGGUAGCCCUGCUACCCGAUACGAUCUCCAUGACGAGCGACCCACUGACAGUCGAAUGCCCAAAGGAUGUUAUGGUCAAUGCAACCAUUCAAAACAGCCCUGAGAAUUACACUGUAACGUGGACAUUAAACCAAGUACCAGUUACAUCCCAAACACCAUCAGUCCAAACAGAUGGACAAAUCACCUACCGCCUAAAUUCAAAGAUAACAUGCCAACAACCAUCUACAAAUGCUAUUAUUAUCACUGUAAAUUUUAUGAACCAGAAGAACAAGAACAAGACUCAAAAUAUAAUUAUCCCAGUGAUUGAUGGUAUGUAUAUGUAUAUAUUUUUUAAUGUACUUGGCCACAGUGAGACAGAAGGCCAUUAACAAAACACUUAAAGGUGCUAUGCAGAGUUCCAUUGUAAUUUAAUACAUUUUUCAUAAUAGAGUAGAUCUGCCAUUGUAGUGGAAUGAUAGUGUUUCUCAAUAUUUAUUUUCCAAAAUACAUAUUUUG